GGGUGAGUAAUGCCUAGGAAUCUGCCUGGUAGUGGGGGAUAACGUUCGGAAAAAAAAAAUAAUACCGCAUACGUCCUACGGGAGAAAGCAGGGGACCUUCGGGCCUUCCGUUAUCAGAUGAGCCUAGGUCGGAUUAGCUAGUUGGUGAGGUAAUGGCUCACCAAGGCUCCGAUCCGUCACUGGUUUGAGAGGAUGAUCAGUCACACUGGAUUUGAGACAGGGUCCAGACUCCUACGGGAGGCAGCAGUGGGGAAUAUUGGCCAAUGGGCGAAAGCCUGAUCCAUCCAAGGCGGGUGUGUGAAGAAGGUCUUCG
rnacentral:rRNA from 1 species